rnacentral:rRNA from 1 species
ACGCUAGCGGCAGGCCUAAUACAUGCAAGUCGAACGAUAGUUGUCAGCUUGCUGAUAACGAAAAGUGGCGCACGGGUGCGUAACGCGUAUGCAACCUACCUUAAUCAGGGGAAUAGCCCGAAGAAAUUCGGAUUAACACCGCAUAAAAACACAGUACAGCAUUGUACAAUGUUCAAAUAUUUAUAGGAUUAAGAUGGGCAUGCGUGACAUUAGUUAGUUGGCGGGGUAACGGCCCACCAAGACCACGAUGUCUAGGGGAUCUGAGAGGAUGACCCCCCACACUGGUACUGAGACACGGACCGGACUCCUACGGGAGGCAGCAGUAAGGAAUAUUGGUCAAUGGAGGCAACUCUGAACCAGCCAUGCCGCGUGCAGGAAGACAGCCCUCUGGGUCGUAAACUGCUUUUAUUCGGGAAUAAACCUAUUUACGUGUAGAUAGCUGAAUGUACCGAAGGAAUAAGGAUCGGCUAACUCCGUGCCAGCAGCCGCGGUAAUACGGAGGAUCCAAGCGUUAUCCGGAUUUAUUGGGUUUAAAGGGUGCGUAGGCGGCUUUUUAAGUCAGGGGUGAAAGACGGUAGCUCAACUAUCGCAGUGCCCUUGAUACUGAAGAGCUUGAAUGAACUAGAGGUAGGCGGAAUGUGACAAGUAGCGGUGAAAUGCAUAGAUAUGUCACAGAACACCGAUUGCGAAGGCAGCUUACUAUGGUUAAAUUGACGCUGAGGCACGAAAGCGUGGGGAUCAGAC